rnacentral:lncRNA from 1 species
CUAGAUCAUCUAUCACUUUGAAGUAUCCAAGGUGCUUGUAGAAGAAGAAAGAGGUCAGCUGUCGAAGUUAUUCGCAGACUAGCAUCUCCGAGCCCCUGAUCUGUGCCAGUCUUUAUGUGGAUUUUCUAUAGAGGCCAAAUGACUUCGUGUGGCUGCGAGCAACUUGAGGAACACCCUCUCCAAUUGUUGGAUCAAAGGAGAUCAUGAUCAAAAUUUGUUUGAUAACGACCUCUAACUUAUUUUGAUUCCUAUGGUAGAUAUAAUAGUUAG